rnacentral:rRNA from 1 species
ACAACUUUCGACAACGGAUCUCUUGGUUCUCCCAUCGAUAAGAACGCAGCGAAACGCGAUAGGUAAUGUGAAUUGCAGAAUUCCGUGAAUCAUCGAAUCUUUGAACGCACCUUGCGCUCCAUGGUAUUCCGUGGAGCAUGCCUGUUUGAGUGCCGCGA